rnacentral:lncRNA from 1 species
GUUUUACAAAUCUGCCAUUUCCUUCCCUUGCCCGUGGAAGAUGGGUUAUGGUGUGGUAGAGAAUGGUGCUGUCACACAGCUGGGUGAAGCUGAGGGGCUGCCCUGUUGUGCGUUGAUAUGAAAAAGCCAUUUUGCAGGAAGGCAGAAAUAGAGACUAGGAGGCCAACUCAAAGAUACUGAUUUUUUGGGGUGGUUUUGUGCUCUUUCUUCAUUCUCCCAGGUGUCUUAUUAAAAAUGCAUUAAAAUGAGACAAUUACCCGCUACUGAUAAUUUACACUGCUGCUGCAUCAAAGUACUUUGAAGUACUUGCUAAAUAACAGCUGAGUAAUUGGUACCCAUCUCUGCUGUCUGCCACAAAACCAUGGACAAAGAAGACCUUCAGAAAACAACAUGGAAAUUGCAGAGGGGCACAGAUGCAAAAGGUACAGCGAAACAGGCAAAGCCUGAAGAUGAUUACCCUGGAAUAUCUAAGGAACAAAUUGAAGCCAGCUCUGAACCACCUACUUAUAGUAAUGGCUGGAGGAUGGGAGAUGUAACAGAGUGGAACAAAUUCACUAUUCCUUCUCUUUUUGACAAAGCUUAGAAGUCAUACGCUCAACAACUUAGCACCACGUGGUAGAAAAUGAGUCAAUGAGAGACAGGUGAAAACUACUGAUCUGCAGAACCGUGAGGAAGAGAAGACCUUCUUACUCCUGCUGAAAGGUCCAAGAGGCAUAAGAAAAACAAGGAUGUUGUCAAUAAGGUAAGCUUGCUCGUCUACUUGUAUGCUCACUCAAGAGUUCACAAACUGGAAGAAUUCCCAGUUUAGGGUGAAUGUUUUCCAGUGUCUAUCCUGUAAGAAGGACUAAACUAUGUCAUCCAUGUAAUAACUUUGAAGCUAUUUAUGUGUUGGUUUUAGAUGGAGAUUAGGAAGCCUGACUGAGAGCUUGUAGUUAUAAUGGG